rnacentral:rRNA from 1 species
GAGUUUGAUCGUGGCUCAGAUUGAACGCUGGCGGCAUGCCUUACACAUGCAAGUCGAACGGCAGCACGGGAGCUUGCUCCUGGUGGCGAGUGGCGAACGGGUGAGUAAUGCAUCGGAACGUAUCCUGGAGUGGGGGAUAACGUAGCGAAAGUUACGCUAAUACCGCAUAUUCUGUGAGCAGGAAAGCGGGGGACCUUCGGGCCUCGCGCUCUUGGAGCGGCCGAUGUCGGAUUAGCUAGUUGUGAGGUAAAGGCUCACCAAGGCGACGAUCCGUAGCAGGUCUGAGAGGAUGAUCUGCCACACUGGAACUGAGACACGGUCCAGACUCCUACGGGAGGCAGCAGUGGGAAUUUUGGGACAAUGGGGGCAACCCUGAUCCAGCCAUGCGCGUGAGUGAAGAAGGCCUCGG